GCAAAUUAUGCAUGUGGUGGAUGCCUUGGCAGUCAGAGGCGAUGAAAGACGUGAUAGCCCGCGAAAAAAGCUCCGGGGAGGCGGCAAAUAUCCUUUGAUCCGGAGAUGUCUGAAUGGGGAACCCACCUACUUUAAGGUAGGUAUUGCAACAUGAAUACAUAGUGUUGCAAGGCGAACGAGGGGAAGUGAAACAUCUCAGUACCCUUAGGAAAAGAAAUCAAUUGAGAUUCCCUCAGUAGCGGCGAGCGAACGGGGAUCAGCCCAUUAAGUUAUGUGUUUUAGUGGAACGCUCUGGGAAGUGCGAACGUAGAGGGUGAUAUUCCCGUACACGAAAGGGCACACAUAAUGAUGACGAGUAGGGCGAGGCACGUGAAACCUUGUCUGAAUAUGGGGGGACCAUCCUCCAAGGCUAAAUACUCCUGACUGACCGAUAGUGAACCAGUACCGUGAGGGAAAGGCGAAAAGAACCCCUGUGAGGGGAGUGAAAUAGAUCCUGAAACCGCAUGCAUACAAGCAGUGGGAGCACCUUCGUGGUGUGACUGCGUACCUUUUGUAUAAUGGGUCAGCGACUUAUAUUCAGUAGCAAGGUUAACCGUAUAGGGGAGCCGUAGAGAAAUCGAGUCUUAAUAGGGCGUUUAGUUGCUGGGUAUAGACCCGAAACCAGGCGAUCUAUCCAUGAGCAGGUUGAAGGUUGGGUCACUAACUGGAGGACCGAACCCACUGUCGUUGAAAAGCCAGGGGAUGACUUGUGGAUAGUGAAAGGCUAAUCCAGAAGCCUGGUGAUAGCUGGUUCCCUCCCCCGAAAGCCGAUGCAAGGUAGCGCCUCGGACGAAUACCAUAGGGUAGAGCACUGUUUCGGAGGGGUCAUCCCGGAUUUACCAAAACGAUGCAAACUCCGAAUACCUAUGAGUACUAUCCGAGACGGACUGCUAACGUCCGUAGUCAAGAGGAAAACAAUCCAGACCGCCAGCUAAGGCCCCAAAAUCAUAGUUAAGUGGGGAAACGAUGUGGGAAGGCAUAGACAGCUAGGAGGUUAUUUAGAAGCAGCCACCCUUUAAAGAAAGCGUAAUAGCUCACUUAGUCGAGUCGGCCUGCGCGGAAGAUGUAACGGUAGGGGAGCGCCCUGUAAGCCGAUGAAGGUGUAUUGAGAAGCAUGCUGGAGGUAUCAGAAGCGCGAAUGCUGACGUGAGUAACGACAAAACGGGUGAAAACCCGUUCGCCGAAAGACCAAGGGUUCCAGUCCAACGUUAAUCGGGGUGGGCCAACGACCCGGCGAGGCCGAAAGGCGUAGUCGAUGGGAAAAUGGUUAAUAUUCCAUUACUUCUGUGUAAUGCGAUGAGACGGGAGAAGGCUAAAUCAGCCUGGCGUUGUUAUUGUCCAGGUGAAAGGAUGUAGGCAUGUAUCUUAGGCAAAUCCGGGUACUCUAUGCUGAGAUCUGAUAGCAAGCUGUACUUGUACAGCGAAGUGGUUGAUGCCAUGCUUCCCAGGAAAAAAGUCUCUAAGCUUCAGUUACACAGGAAUCGUACCCGAAACCGACACAGGUGGUCAGGUCGAGCAGACCAAGGCGCUUGAGAACUCUGCUGAAGGAACUAGGGCAAAAUGGUACCGUAACUGGGAGAAGGUACGCUGUUGUUGGUGAUGGAACUCAAGCCCUGGAGCUGACGACAGCCGCAGAAACCAGGCCGCUGCAACUGUUUAUUAAAACAUAGCACUCUGCAAAACACGAAAGUGGACGUAUAGGGUGUGAUGCCCGGUGCUGGAAGGUUAAUUGAUGGGGUUAGCGUAAGCGAAGCUCUUUUGAUCGAAGCCCCAGCAAACGGCGGCCGUAACUAUAACGGUCCUAAGGUAGCGAAAUCUUUGUCGGGUAAGUUCCGACCUGCACGAAUGGCAUAAUGAUGGCGGCGCUGUCUCCAGCAGAGGCUCAGUGAAAUCGAAAUCGCUGUGAAGAUGCAGUGUACCCGCGGCUAGACGGAAAUCCCCCGUGAACCUUUACUGCAGCUUGACACUGAACUUUGACCUUUAUUUGUGGGAUAGGUGGGAGGUUUUGAAGCUGGAACGCUAGUUCCAGUGGAGCCGUCCUGAAAUACCAACCCCUGGUAAUGUUGAGGUUCUAACUCUGUCCCGUGAUCCGGGACGAGGACCGUGUCUGGUGGGUAGUUUGAUGGGCGGUCUCCUCCCAAAGAGUAACGGAGGAGUACGAAGGUGCGCCCAGCGUGGUCGGAAAUCACGCGUAGAGUAUAAAGGCAAAGCGCGCUUAACUGCGAGACCCACAAGUCGAGCAGGUACGAGCAGUCUUAGUGAUCCG
rnacentral:rRNA from 1 species